CCUACGGGUGGCUGCAGUCGAGAAUCAUUCACAAUGGGGGAAACCCUGAUGGUGCGACGCCGCGUGGGGGAAUGAAGGUCUUCGGAUUGUAAACCCCUGUCAUGUGGGAGCAAAUUCAAAAGAGAGUACCACAAGAGGAAGAGACGGCUAACUAUGUGCCAGCAACCGCGGGAAUACAGAGGUCUCAAGCGUUGGUCGGAAUCACUGGGCGUAAAGCGUGCGGAGGCUGUUUCGUAAGUCGUGUGUGAAAGGCGCGGGCUCAACCCGCGGACGGCACAUGAUACUGCGAGACUAGAGUAAUGGAGGGGGAACCGGAAGGCGCGGUGUAGCAGUGAAAUGCGUAGAUAUCGAGAAGAACUCUCGUGGCGAAGGCAGGUUCCUGGACAUUAACUGACGCUGAGGCACGAAGGCCAGGGGAGCGAAAGGGAUUAGAUACCCGAGUAGUC
rnacentral:rRNA from 1 species